CUACAGUUAAUUGGUUGAACUGGAGGCAGCUGUGCGGAAGCUGUUUACUUCUCUCCCAGCGCCAUAUUGUGGGAGAGCAGAUGCAUAGAAUAAGUCCUAAUUCGAGCAACUUAGUCCAGUCCGGAUUGCUCCCCACAAAGGGGAAUGUGCAUCCUCUCCUGAGGAAGGGUGGGCAGCCUCAUCUGGUGUGUCAUCAGGACAAAUGCCAUGUCCUCACAUGGGGUCAGGGUGAAGAUCAUGUCUUCAUGUGAAGGGAGGGUGAUGUCCUGUGCUCACCAGAGGAAAAGGAGGAUGACUUUCACUUAUGAGGGAUAUGGUGAAUGUUGUUUGUGGAUGUAAAGUUAGUGCCCAGUACCCAUGUGAUUGAAUUUUGAAUGGCCUAUGUUGAAUGGCUUAUGAUGGAAUGGUAAAUGUACUUGGCAAUCCUCAUGGAAGAUUAGAUGGUUUGUCUUCACUGGAGGGAAGGCUGAAUGCCUCAUUCUCUGCUUUUGGAUGGACAUUAUCUUGACCUCUCCUGUGAGAUACAUAAUUCUAUCUCUUCACCUAAUGGAAGAAUGCAAUAAGUUUCUUCACUGGACUGAAGGACAAACACUGUAUUACUAUGUUAGAGAAUUUGAAUGUUCAUAAAAGAAAUUAUGAACAAUGUGUCCAUGACAGGCCAUAUGAUUGUCAGCCACUACUAAAGUACAGAAGGCCAAAUGUUAUCUUCUCAUCUGGCAGUAAGGUGAAGGCUGUGUUAUGAUAUAAGAAUAUGGUGAAGGGAAUAUCCUCAUGUGAAGAUGUCACGAAGGUGAUGGAUGAGAGAAUGCAGAAUCCUUGUGUAAUGGCAGGCUGAAUGCUCUGUCCUGUCUUUAUCAAAGUUUGAGCACCUCCUGCACAUCUGAUAAAAUGGUGAUGGAUGUGUUGUUAUGCAAGAGCUAUGUGAAUUCAGGGUCCUCACAUCACAAUUAGGUGAAGAUCUUGCCACAUGAUGGAAGGAUGAAUGCCCUGUUCUCAGCCAUGUAGAAAUGAACUCUGUCACCUCACAUGUUGGAUGUUUGAAAGUGGUUAUCUAGUUGAAAUGGCAUGUGACUAGCCAAUCUGUAUGUUAUGGAAGGGAAUGGCCCUGUUCUCAAUGGAGGGAGGCAUGAAUACAUUUUCCUCACAUGGUGGAAGGGUGAACUCUCUGUUCUCAGCUGACAGAAAGGAAAUGCCCCCCAUCACCUGAAGGAUGGUUAAGAAGCCUGACUUGAUGUGUCAGCAGGAUGAAUGACAUGUCCACACAUGGUGACAGGGUGAAGAUCAUGUUUUCAUAUGAAGAGAUGGUGAGUGUUCUCUCUUUAGCAGAGUAAGGGGUGGAUACUUUCUUUACUUAUGAAGGAGUGCCGAGUGCCAUUUUGUCCUGUGAUGUCACUGUUAAUGCCCUGUAAUCAAUGAUGGAAGUUGGAGCAACCUGUGAUUAUUUGGUGGAAAGACAAAGAUAUUUACAAUCUUGAGGGAAGAAUAAAGGCUCCAUGUUCACAGGAGGUGACUUCAGAUGCUCUGUUGUCUGUGGAGAAAAAGACAUUCAUAUGAACUGUUCUGAGAAAUAGUGAAUACCAUUUUCCAACCAAUGGAAAUGUGAAUUUUGUUUUAUUAUUGAUAAGUAUGAACACUGUGUUCUCACAUUAGAGAAUUUGAAUUACCUCCCCUACAAAGGGAAGUGCAAACACAUUGUCCACUAAAGACUGAAGAAUUCAACUGAUAUUUAAUUAAGGAAGGCAAAAUGCCCAGUCCUCAUCAGAAAAAAAGGUUGAAGUCCAUGUUAUAAUGUGAGAAUAUGGUGAUGGGAAUGUCUUCAUGUGAAGAUCUCUUGAAGAUCCAUUUCCUUGUGAUGGAAGUGUGAAUGCCGGGUCCUCAUAUAAUGGAAUGGUGAAUGAUGUGUCCACUCUUAGUUGAAGUCUGGCCACCUUCUGCACAUCUGAUGAGGUGGUGAUUGAUGUGUUGUAGUGUUAGGGCUGGGUAAUUUCAAGGUCUUCACAUUGCAGUAGGGUGAAGGUAGGUCUUCAUGAGAUGGAAGGGUAAAUUCCCUGUGCACAUACAUGGAAAGCUGGAACCUCUCACAUCACAUAUUGGAAGUUUGAAUGUGGUGUCCUCAUUGAAUGGGAAUGGGAAUGUCCACCGGAAAACUUGAGAGAAGAACAAAGGCUCCAUCUUCAUUGAGGGAAGGUUGAAGGCCCUAUUCUUUGUGGAUGGGUACACACUCACUUGAACUGUGAGGGAAUGAAUGUCAUCUCCUCAAUUAAUAGAAUGGAGAAGUCCAUCUGGAUUGUGGAUAGAAGGACAUUUUCCCUUUAGAGUAUUUGGAUUCCCAAUUCACAAAAAGGGAAGUGUGAACACAAUCUCCAAUAUAUUCUGAAGAACUUUCACACAGAACUUAGAUAAAGAAAGAAAAAUGCCUUUGCUUUAUCUGACAGAAGGAUGAAGGCCAUGUAGCAUAGUGAUAAUAUGGUGAAGGCUAAGUUCGAAUGUAAAGAGAGCAUGCAGGUCCUUUUCUCUCAUAUUGGAAGUGUUGUUGCACACUCCUUGUUGGAUAACAUGGUGAAUGCUGUGUCAUCUAUUAAUCAAAGUCAAAUCACACUGUAAGUAUCUGAUGGAAUGAUGAUUGAUGUGUUGUGAGAUAAGGGUUGUGUGAAUACAGGGUCCUCACAUCAAAAUAGGGUGAAAGUCCUGUUGUCAUGAGAUGGAAGGAUGAAUGCCCUGUCCUCAGCUAUGACAAGGUGAAUCCUGUCAGACACAUGUUAGAAGUUUGAAUGUGGUGUCCUCAUUGAUGUGAAUGUGAAUGAUUUAUCUUCACCUCCUGAAAGAUGGAAGUUCCUGUCCUCAACUGAGGGACACUGAACACAUUUUCCUCAUGGGGUGUGUGUGUUUGUGUGUGUGUGGGGGUGAACUCUGUUCUCAGCUGAUGGAAGGGGACUGUCCUUCCUCACCUGAGGGAAAGCUGGGCAGCCUCAUCUGAUGUGUCAACAGGAGGAAUGUCAUGUCCUCAUAUGGUGACAGGGUGAAGAUCUUGUCUUCAUGUGAAGGAAUGGUGAGUGUCCUGUCCUCAGAAGAGGAAAACAAGGUGAUUAUUUCACUCAUGGUGGAAGGGUGAAAUCCAUUUUUCUUGUGAUGGAAGUUCUUAUGCCCUGUACUCAUUGGAUUGGAAUUUGAAAACACUGUGUUUACUGGUGGAAAGAUAAAUGUAUUUGUAAACCUGAUAGAAGAAAAAUAGUUCUUCUCUGAAGGCUAGAUGAACACCCUAUUCUUUGGGGAUGGAACGACAUUGAUUUGAACUUUGCUGUGAGAAUAUGACUGCCGUCUUCUCACUUCAUGGAAUGGUGAAGUGCAUUAGGUAAAUGGAUUGAAGGCCAUCCUCCAUUUAGAAAUUUUGAAUGCCAUCUUCACCCAUAGGAAAAUGUGAGCACACUUUCCAUUAUAAUCUGAAGAAUGUUCAUCUAGUUAUUAGCUGAAGAAAAUAAAAUACCUUUUAUUCACCUGACAGAAGAGUGAGGGCUGUGUUAUGCUGAAAGCAAUGUACUGAUGUGGAGAUUGCAAGGAAUUCCUAUUCUCUCAUGAUGGAAGGAUGAAUUCAGAGUCUUUAUGGAAUGGUAUGCUGAAUUGACAUUUGAUCACCAUCUACGCCCCUGACAUUAUGGUGAUUUAUGUGUGGGUGUUAGGGCUGAGAGAAUUCAGCUUCCUUACAUCGUAACGGGGUGAGGGCCUUGUUGUCAUGUGAUGGAAGGAUGCAUGUUCAUCAUCAGACAAAAAGAGAUGAACCCUGUCCUGCCAAAUGUUAGAAGUUUGAAUGUUAUGUCUUCAUUGAAUGGAAAGGUGAAAGGCCAGUCUGCACCUCAUGGAAGACAGAAGGUCUUCUCCUCAGCUGAGAGAACAAUGUCCUCAUUUUCCUCACAUGUUUGAAAGAUGAACUCUGUGUUCUCAAGUCAUGGAAGGGAAAUGUCUGUCCUCACCUGAGGGAAUGGUGGGCAGCCACAUCUGAUGUGUCAGCAGGAUGAAUGACUUGAUCUCCCAUGGUGAUGUGGUGAAGACCAUGUCUUACUGUGAAAGGACAGUUACUGUCCUGCCCCAGCAGAAUAAAUGGAAGGUGGGUUCUUCACUAGAGGGAAGGGAGAAUGCCAUUUUGUCUUGUGAUGGUAGUGUUAAUGUUCUGUCAUCACAUGAUCAAAGUUUGAAUGAACUGUGUUUAUAUGAUGGGAAGAUGAAUGUACCUUGUAAUUCGGAAGGAAGCAUUAAGGCUCUGUCAUCACUGGAUGAAAGGCUGAAUGUCCUAUUCUCUGCAAAGGGAAAGACUUUCUUGUGAAAUCCUCUGAGAAUUUGCCUCUUCACCUAACUAAGUGAGAACUCUGUUUCACCACUGCCACAAGAGGCAAACAGCACAUUGUCACGUUUGAGAAUAUGAAUGCCCUCUCCUCACAACCAGAAUUGUGAAACAAAAUGUCGACUUCAGACUGAAGAAUUCUGAGCCAGUACUUACCUAAAGAAGGCAAAAUGUCUGGUUGUCAUUUGAGCAAAUGAUGAUUGACAUCUUAUAAUAUGAAAAUAUGAUUAAGAGAAUGUCUUCAUGUGAAGAUAGCAGAACAGCCUAUUCUCUCGUGAUGGAAGGGUGAAUACAGAUUCCUCAUGUAAUGGCAUGGUGAAUGCUGUGUUCUCUUGUAAUUGAAGUUGGACUCCCUUCUGCACAUCUGAUUGAAAGGUGAUUGAUGUGUUGUCAUGUUACAGCUGGAUGAAUUCACUGUCCUCACAUCGCAGUAGGGUGAAGGCCUUGCUGUCAUGUGCUAGAAGGAUGAAUGCCCUGUCCUCAGCCAUGGAGAGGUGAACUCUGUCACCUCACAUGUUGGUUGUUUGUGGUGUCCUCACUGAAAGGGAAAUGAAUGGCUUGGUGGUAUAGGGAAGAUCCUCAUUCAAUGGUGGAAACAUGACUACAUUUUGUUUACAUGUUAAAAUGGCAAACUCUGUUAGCUGAUAGAAGAGCAAUGUCUCUCCUGACCUGAUCGAUGGCUGGGCAGCCUCAUCUGAAGUGUGAGCAGGAUGAAUUUCAUAUCCUCACAUAGUGACCCAAUGAAGAGCACAUAGGAACGGACGGUGAGUUUCUUUUCCCCCAUAGAAGAAACAGAGGAUUAUUUGUUCACUGAUGAGGGAUACAGCAAUGCCAUUUUGUCUUAUGGAAAUGUUAACAUCCUGUACUCAUAUGUUUGAAUUUUGAAUGACCUGUGUUUAUCUGGUAGAAGGAUAAAUGUAUGUAAAAUCUUGAGGGAAGAAUAACGACUCUGUUUUCACUGUAGGGAAGGUUAAAGCCCUAUUUUCUGCAGAGCAGAAGACAUUCACUUGAAGUCCUCUUUGAGAAAAGGAGUGUCAUGUUGUCACUCAAGGGAAUGGUGAAGCCUAUUUUAUCACUGAUUGAUGGACAUUCUUCCUUUAGAAAAUUUGAAUUCCCUCUCAACAGAAAGGUAAAUGUGAACACCAUGCCCACUAAGUAUGAAGAAGUAUCACCUAGAGCUUAGCUAAAAGCCAAAUGCCUUCUCUUCUGACAGAGGAGUGAAUGCCAUGUUUUGAUGUGAGAAUAUGGUGAAGGGAAUGUCUUCAUGUGAAGAUAGCAAGGAGGUCCUGUUCUCUCAAGAAUUAAGAGUUAAUGCAGAUUUCUCAAGUGAUGGCAGGAUGAACACUUUGUCCUCUGCAUAUCAAAGUUAGAGCAUACUGUACAUAUCUGACAUAAUGGUGAUUGGUGUGCUGACAUGUAAGGUCUGGGUGACUGCAGGGUCUCACAUCACAAUAGGGUGAAGGUCUUGUUAUGUGAUGGAAGGAUAAAAAUCCUGUCUUCAUGAUGGAUGCAUGGAUGUGGUGCCCUCAUUGAUGGGAAAGUGAAUGGCGAGCCUGCACCUGUCCUCUGAUGGGGGAUGGAUGAACACAUUAUUCUCACACUUGUAGGAGAUUCUGUCAUCCCUGGCAGGAAGACUGGGUACCCUGUUCUCCGUGGAGAGAGGCAUUCUUGUGACCUAUCUUGAGAGAUAGUGAAUGUCAUUUCCUACCCUCAUGGAAUGGUGAAGUCUGUUUCAUCACUGCCAAUAAGAUCAACUCUGAAUCAUCAUUUGAGAGAAUUUGAAUGUCUUGUACUCACAAAGGAAAGUGCAAACCCAGUGUCCACUACAGACUGAAGAAUUAUCAACCAGUACUUACUUAAAGAAAGCAAAAGACCGACUCCUCGUUUGACAGAAAUAAUAAAGGCCAUUUUAUGAUGUGAGAAUAUGGUGACGGGAGUAUCCUCUUGUGAAGAUGGCCUUAAAAUUCCUGUUUCCUCAUGAUGGAAGGGUGAAUGCAGAGUCCUCAGGUAAUGACGUGAUGAAUCUUCUGUUCUCUCCUAAUUGAAGUUUGAACACUCUGUGCUCUGCUGAGGGGACAGUGAUUGAUGUGUUGUCCUAUGAGGGCUGGGUGAAUGCAGGUUCUUCACAUCACAGUAGGGUAAAGGUCCUUUUAUAUCAUGUGAUGGAAGGAUGAAUGCCUUGUCCUCAGCCAUGUUGAGAAGGACCCUGUCACCUCACAUGGAGGAAGUCUGAACGUGGUAUCCUCAAUGAAUGGGAAGGUGAAUGGUCUCUUUGGACCUGAGGGAAGAGGGAAAUUCCUUUCCUCAAUUGAAGGAAGCAUGAACACAUUUUCCUCACAUGUUGAAAGGGGAGAUUGUUCUCAGCUGAUGAAUGGGGAAUGUGCUUCCUUCCUUGAGAGAAGAGUGGGAAGCCUCAUUUGUUAUGUAACAGGAUGAAUGUCUUCUCCUCUCGUGGUGACAGGGAGAAGAUCAUGUCUUCAUGUUCUGGCAUGGUCAGUGUCCUGUACUUAGCAGAUGAAAGGGUUUCCUGAGUUAUAAGGUUAGAGUGUAUGCCAUUUUGUCCUGUGGUGAUAGUGUUAAUGCCCUUUCAUCACAUGAUGGACAUUUGAAUGUCAUGUGUUUAUUUGGUGGAACACUAGAUGUACUUUACAAUCCCAGGGAAAGAGUAAAUGCUCUGUCCUUGUAAGACUGAAUGUCCUAUUCUUUGCAGAUUAAAGGACAUUCAUUGGAAUUCUCCUUUGAGAUAGUAAAUGCAUUCUCACUAAUUAAGACUGAUGCCUUUUAUCACUGGACAGAAGGGCAACCAUGGCAUUCUCAUUUUAGAGAAUUUGAAUGCCUUCUCCACUCUGAGGGAAGCGUUAAUGUCCACUUGUCCACUUGUGACUGAAAAUUAUCACCCAGUAAUCACCUGAAGAAGGCCAUGUGCCUUCUCCUUCUCUGAGUUCAGUGUGCAGGGUGGAGACCAUAUUACAGUGUGAGAAUAUGGUGAAGGGAAUGUCUUCAUGUGAAGAUACAGGUCUUGUUCUCCCAUGAAGGAAGGGUGGAUGGAGUGUCUGCAGGUAAUGGUUAAAGGUGAGUAUUCUUUUAUCCUGUUGGAAGUUUGAGCAGGCUCUGCCCUUGUGAUUGAAGGAUGAUUGAUAUGUGUCAUGUUAUGUCUGUGUGAAUGCAGGUUCCUCACAUCACAAUAGGGUGAAGGUUUUGUUGUCAUGUGAUGGAGGGAUGAAUGAGUUGUCCUCAGCCAUGGAGAGGUGAACCCUGUCACCUGAAAUGUUGGAAGUUUGAAUGUGGUGUCCUCAUUGAAUAGGAACAUGAAUGUCUUUUCUGUACCUGAGGAAUGAGGGAAUGUCCUGUAUUCAACUGAUGGAUGCAUGAACACCUCUUUAAAAAAAGAUUUAUUUACUUGAAAGACAGAGAUGUAGAGCUAGAGUGAGAGUGAAAGUGAGAGCAAGAGCAAGAGAGAGAGAGAGAGAGAGGUCUUCAAUCUGCUGGCUCACUCCCCAAAUGACCACAAUGGCCAGAGCUGAGAUGAUCUGAACCCAGGAGUCAGGAGCUUCUCUGGGUCUCCCACGUGGGUUCAAGGGCCCAAGGACUUGGUCCAACUUCUACUGUUUCCCGGACCAUAGCAGAGAGCUAGAUCACAUGUGGAAUGGCUGGGACUCGAGCCAACGCCCAUAUGAGAUGCCUGCACCAUAGGCCAGACUUUAACUCUCUGAGCCACAGUGCCAGUACUGUGUGGGCACCAUUUCCUUACAUAGUUGAAGGGUGAACUCCCUGUUCUCAGCUGAGGGAAGGGGAAUGGCCUCCUUCUUCUAAGGGAAGAUGGACACAUCAUUUUUGGUGUCAGUAGAGUCAAAGCCAUGUCUUCACAUGGAGAUAGGUGAAGAUCAGGUUUUCACAUGAUGAAUGUUGGAUGCCCCAUCCUCUACAUGGGAAAAGUAGGAUGGCUUCUUUACCUAUGAGGGAAGAGUAAGUGCCAUUUUACCUCGUGAUUGUGAUGUGAAUGCCUAGUCCUCACAUGAUGAAUGUGCGAAUGCCCUGUUUAACUGCUGGGGUGAUAGAAGUAUUUUACAAUCCUGAGGGAAGAGUAAAAGCUCUGUCUUUGCUGGAUGGAAGGCUGAGUGUCCUAUUCACCAUUUAUGGGAGUUCACUUAUUUGAACUCUUCUGUGAGAUACAAAAUGCCUUCUCAUCACCUAAUAGAAGGGUGACAUCUGAGUCUUGUCAGGACAGAAGGGCAAACAUGUUCUGUUCCUAUAGAAUUUCAAUACCCUUUCCCUAUGAUGAAAGUGGGAGCCAAAUAUUCACUACUGACUGAAGAAUUAUCACCCAGCACCCAACUGAAAAAGCCACAUGUUUUCAGUUCAUCUGAGAGUUGAAGCCCAUUUUUUAUCCAAUUAAAAUUUCUUUUUUUAAAAAAAUUUAUAUGUUAUGCAAGUUUCCUGUAUUUCACAAUACAGCUUUAGAGAAGGCAAUGUUUUAAUGAAAGAACAGGUGCAUGGUGUGUCCUCAUGUGAAGAUAGCAAGAAAGUCUUCUAAGCAGGAUCCUUAGUAAUGUAAGUGAAUGCUGUGUCCUUUCCAAGUAAAAGACUAUGCACUCUGUGCAUAUCCCAUGGAAGUGUGAUUGAUGUGUUGUCAUUUACAUUCUGGGAGAGUGCAGGGUCCUCACAUCACAAUAGGGUGAAGGUCGUGUGAUGGAUAGGUGGAUGCUCUGUCCCCCACUAUCUAGAGGUGAAGGCUGUAAUCUCACAUAUCUGACCUUUGAAUUUGGUGUCCUCAUUGGAUGGCCUGUCUUCACCUGAUGGAAGAGGAAGGUCCUGCCCUCAAACUGAGGUAAGCAUGAACACAUUUUCCUCACAUGGUAGAAGGGGGAGUUCUGUGUUCACAGGUCAUGGUAGGGGAAUGUCCUUGCUACCCGAGGGAAGUGUGGACACCUUGAUGUUUCAGUAGACUGAAAGGCAUGUCCUCACAUGGUGAGAGGUGAAGGUCAGGUGUUCAAAUGAAGGAUUGGUGAAUUCCCAGUCCUUGACUGAGGAAAGGGAUAGUGUCUUGUUCAUACAUGUGGGAAGGGUGAGUGCCAUGUCUUUACCUGAUGGAAGUGGUAAUGCCAUUUCUUCUUGUGGUAGCAUUAACACUGUCAUCACACACUGGAACUUUGAAGGCCAUGUCUCCAUUUAGUGGAAUGGGAAAUGCUGUUUCUCACACUUAUGGAAAAGUGAAUGUGUUUUCUUCAUCUGAAAGAAGACUGAGUGCCUUGUUCCAUGAUGAUGGAAGGAUAAUCACAUGAACACUCCUGUGGGAUAGCAAACACCAUCAUUUCUCCUAAUGGAAUGGAAGGUGAAGGACCUGAUGGAAGAGUGAAGAUCUGAUUGUCAACAGGAACAUGAAUGCAGUUUCUCCAGCUCAUAGGAGAGUGAACUCUGUGGACUCAGCUGAUGGAAGGAGAAGUCUGACCUCGCUGGAGAGAAGAGCAAACGCCAUGUUGCAAGCUUACAGAAUUUGAAUGCCUUCUCAUGGAGGGCUGUGGGAGCAUCCAGUCCUCUACCAAAUGAAAGAUUGUCAUCAGUGUUCACCGGAUGGAACUGUGAAUACCUUCUCACCAGAUGGCAUGUUGGAGGCCAUGUCCUAAUGGGGCAGUAAGGAAAACCACAAGAAUUGCUGACCAAGCCUCUAGGCCUGUUCCAAGAGUCCCUAGGGUUCAGGCCUCACCCAACUCCUCAGAGGCACAAGACGCUGUCAAGAGGACAGGUGGACCUCCCUGUUACUCCAACCUUCACAAGUCACCCCGGGGCUCAGCUCCUGGCCCCUCAUGAUGGAAAUUGCUGAAUCCAAAAUAUUUGAGGUCACAUCAGGGCAGGAGGAAGGCAGUGACAAAGAAGGCUCCCUAGAGUCCUGGCCCUGGCCUCUCGCAGUGCACCUCAAAGAUUGUCCAUCCUGUAGCUCACAGAUCCACAUGAGCUCAGGCAUAUUCCAGCUCCAUCACCAGUUCCUCUUCUGAAGCUCACAGAACCCUGCAGGCUGGAAACUUCUGUUCCCCAGAGAGUAGCAUCCAGUAGGGAUAUGUCCUCUUCCAUGUCUGUCACAGGUCCGCUGCAACUAGGCCUCAACUUAUUUAGUGUCCACCUGAAGACAGGGCCAAAGUCAUAUCAACAACUGUGGCCCUUGCAGUCCAAGCUCUUCUGGCACAUUGCCAGGCAGAAGUGCCAGACACGUGUUGAGAGAACUUCCCAAGUCUCCCCACUUCCUAGUAGCCUGUGUGUGGGCCUCCUCCUCCUCCAUGGUGCAGGUUGUCAUGUUUGCUGCUGGAGCCUGGCACCCCAUCCACAGCCCAGGCAGGUCAGCAGCAUGCUGCCCUGCCUCCAUGAUGGGUAGAGCUCACAGAACACAUCUGAGGGGUACAGUUCCCUGACUCUGGUGGGAUCAACCCAGCCUCAUCUGUUGCUGGAAGACUGGAUCACCAUGAGUCCCCUGAAAGGGUGUGAGCACCAGGCCACUGAAUGUCUUGUGUGCCUGCCCUGUGCAUGAGUUCAGUACCAGCUGUUCCUGUUGGAGCAGAUCCUGGCUCCCUGGGCUUGCAUGUCCAUGAAAAUACCAGCUCAUUGCCUGGUCAGCCCGUGAGAACAUGGAACAGCAAUACACUUCAGUUUGGCUACCUCAGAGCCACACAGGGGUACUUCUAGCCUCCUUGUCACCUUGCUAGUUAAAGAGCAAUAAAGUGUUUGUUUUAA